rnacentral:rRNA from 1 species
GACGAACGCUGGCGGCGUGCCUAAUACAUGCAAGUCGAGCGGACGGAUGGGAGCUUGCUCCCAGACCGUCAGCGGCGGACGGGUGAGUAACACGUGGGCAACCUGCCUGUAAGACUGGGAUAACUCCGGGAAACCGGGGCUAAUACCGGAUAACUCUUUCCCUCACAUGAGGGAAAGCUGAAAGAUGGCAUCUCGCUAUCACUUACAGAUGGGCCCGCGGCGCAUUAGCUAGUUGGUGAGGUAACGGCUCACCAAGGCGACGAUGCGUAGCCCACCUGAGAGGGUGAUCGGCCACACUGGGACUGAGACACGGCCCAGACUCCUACGGGAGGCAGCAGUAGGGAAUCUUCCGCAAUGGACGAAAGUCUGACGGAGCAACGCCGCGUGAGUGAUGAAGGUUUUCGGAUCGUAAAACUCUGUUGUCAGGGAAGAACAAGUACCGGAGUAACUGCCGGUACCUUGACGGUACCUGACCAGAAAGCCACGGCUAACUACGUG